rnacentral:rRNA from 1 species
GACGAACGCUGGCGGCGUGCUUAACACAUGCAAGUCGAACGGAAAGGCCCUGCUUUUGUGGGGUGCUCGAGUGGCGAACGGGUGAGUAACACGUGAGUAACCUGCCCUUGACUUUGGGAUAACUUCAGGAAACUGGGGCUAAUACCGGAUAGGAGCUCCUGCUGCAUGGUGGGGGUUGGAAAGUUUCGGCGGUUGGGGAUGGACUCGCGGCUUAUCAGCUUGUUGGUGGGGUAGUGGCUUACCAAGGCUUUGACGGGUAGCCGGCCUGAGAGGGUGACCGGCGACAUUGGGACUGAGAGACGGCCCAGACUCCUACGGGAGGCAGCAGGGGGGAAUAUUGCACAAUGGGCGGAAGCCGGAUGCAGCAACGCCGCGUGCGGGAUGACGGCCUUCGGGUUGUAAACCGCUGUCGCCUGUGACGAAGCGUGAGUGACGGUAAUGGGUAAAGAAGCACCGGCUAACUACGUG